GAGUAGCGCGUGAGAAACCUGCCUCUCAGUUGGGGACAACACUUCUAACGAGGUGCUAAUACCGAAUACAAUCUUUUCUUUGCAUGGAGAAUUGAUGAAAGGCGGCCUCUGCUUGCAAGCUGUCGCUGAGAGAUGGUCUCGCGUCCCAUUAGCUAGUUGGUGAGGUAACGGCUCACCAAGGCGAUGAUGGGUAGCCGGCCUUAGCGGGUGACCGGCCACACUGGGACUGAGAUACGGCCCAGACUCCUACGGGAGGCAGCAGUCGAGAGGCAUCCACAAUGGGGGAAACCCCGAUGGUGCGACGCCGCGUGGGUGAUUAAGGUCUUCGGAUCGUAAAGCCCUUUCGGCAAGGAUGAAUCCUGGGGUGUUAAUAGCAUCCUUCGGAGGACAGUACUUGUAGAAGAAGCUCCGGCUAACUCCGUGCCAGCAGCCGCGGUAAGACGGGGGGAGCGAGCGUUGUUCGGAUUUACUGGGCGUAAAGGGCGUCUAGGCGGAUUUUCAAGUCAGGUGUGAAAUCCCACGGCUCAACCGUGGAACUGCACUUGAUACUGUUAAUCUUGAGUACGGAAGAGGAAAGCGGAAUUCCUGGUGUAGCGGUGAAAUGCGUAGAUAUCAGGAAGAACACCGGUGGCGAAGGCGGCUUUCUGGUCCGAUACUGACGCUAAAGCGCGAAAGUGUGGGGAGCAAACAGGAUUAGAUACCCUGGUAGUCCACACCGUAAACGAUGGAUACUAGGUGUCGGGGGUCCGACCCCUCCGGUGCCGCAGUUAACGCAUUAAGUAUCCCGCCUGGGGAGUACGAUCGCAAGGUUGAAACUCAAAGGAAUUGACGGGGACCCGCACAAGCGGUGGAGCAUGUUGCUUAAUUCGACGCAACGCGAAGAACCUUACCGGGGCUUGACGUGUACCGGAAGGGUGUAGAGAUACAUUCCGCUCUUCGGAGCUGGUACAUCAGGUGCUGCACGGCUGUCGUCAGCUCGUGUCGUGAGAUGUUGGGUUAAGUCCUCUAACGAGCGCAACCCCUAUCCAUAGUUGCCAUCAGGUAAAGCUGGGCACUCUCCGGAGACUGUCGGUGACAAACCGGAGGAAGGUGGGGAUGACGUCAAGUCAUCGUGGCCCUUACGUCCCGGGCUGCAAACCUGUUACAAUGGCUGGUCAAAGGGAAGCAAUGCCGCGAGGUGGAGCAAAUCCCAAAAAGCCA
rnacentral:rRNA from 1 species